UCCCCGGCUUCCUCGGCCCCGGGGGCGCCCACGCGGGAGGGCACGUCCAAGUCUACGACCCUGCCUUGAACAUUUGAGAAGCCGGCCACAUGGAGAACGUUGAACCCACAUUUAGAAACCCGUGGGUUAAUGAGACGCGGCAGUCACCAUACUGCUCUCUGCCUCCUUGUGCUUGCCGGACUCGCACCUGCCCUGUGGUGUCCGUGGACUGAAGGAACACCCGGGCUGCCCUGACGUUACAGUUCGGCUUGUGGCUGUCGCGACCCUGGUCCUCGCGACAGGGCGGGAGGGGUGCCGGCGUCACUUACGGCUGGGAAUGUAAAUCCCAAGCUCCGCCAGCCAUCAAGCUCCUGAACACUUACCUUGGGCUUAGGGCUACGUCUGCAGUUACUGGGUUGGCACCAUGUGAGAAACCUAGAUGGGGUGGGUAGGGGAUGGGUUGGUUGUUUUUAGUCAACACUACAAUGAUAUGGGAGGCCAAGACUGCUGUAACAGAGCUGGAACAUUUCUGAGCGCAUGCUUCAGAUACCCAGAAAGGAACGAAUUGGGUUAAUAUAUGUUAGAAUCUGCCAGAACUCAAGUACUGAGGCUGCUGAACCCGGGUUUGGUCUGACUCCCACUGGUCUGACGCCAGGUGCCAUUCCCUGCUGCCUACAAUAGACUAGGCUAGAUGUUGCUUCUCCGUCUUCCUGCUCAUGUUGUCUCCAGUGAGAAACCUGCUGCUCAGGACACACAAAAGGUGAACAUUAUUCCUGUGGAGUUUCGU